rnacentral:rRNA from 1 species
GACGUAGGGGGCAAGCGUUAUUCGGAAUUAUUGGGCGUAAAGCGCUCGUAGGCGGGACAGGAAGUCCGUGAAGAAAGACCUGGGCUCAACUCAGGGACCGGCACGGAUACUCUUGUUCUUGAGGCAAUCAGAGGGUGAUGGAAUUCCCGGUGUAGCGGUGAAAUGCGUAGAUAGUCGGGAGGAACACCAGUGGCGAAGGCGAUCACCUGGGGUUGUUCUGACGCUGAGGAGCGAAAGCUAGGGGAGCAAACGGG